CCGCCCGUCGCUCCUACCGAUUGAAUGGUCCGGUGAAGUGUUCGGAUCGCGGCGACGGGGGCGGUUCGCCGUCCCCGACGUCGCGAGAAGUCCAUUGAACCUUAUCAUUUAGAGGAAGGAGAAGUCGUAACAAGGUUUCCGUAGGUGAACCUGCGGAAGGAUCAUUG
rnacentral:ncRNA from 1 species